rnacentral:rRNA from 1 species
UAGGGCUAAGUCGUAACAAGGUAGCCGUACCGGAAGGUGCGGCUGGAUCACCUCCUUUCUGGAGCU